GAUAGAGAGGUUGAUAGAGGAGUUCUUAAUGCUUUGUUAAAAAAAAAAUCAAAACAAAAGAAAAAAUGUAAGAUCUCCCUUUAUAUAGUAUACUCAACUGUCUGUGAGGCUAAUAAAAAAUACAAAAGAAAAAAAAAAAUUAGAAAGAUUGAUUUUAUUACUUCUCCUCUCUUUCUCUCUCUUUCUCUCACAAUUGAAUCUCCCAAACGAGAAAACAAUUUGGAAUCAGAAGCUUCAAGGUUUGGAAUCGAAGGACCGUUUGGAUUCAAUUGGGAAUGGAGAGAAGACGAUUCGAUGGGAAUGGAGAGAAGGGCGAUUCAUCGGAAAGUUUUAGAGUGGAUUAAUUAUAAUCGUUGAAGAUUCUCUGGCUUGGUCGGUGGAUUUGAUUUGAAUCUGGGUAGGGUAGGGUAGGUUACGUGCUUUUCUAUCGGGACUUUGUUGCAUUAGAGAUGAAGUGAGAGAAAUCUAAGUCCAGCAAGGAAGACGAUUGGUGCUGGAUCGGUUGUGUUGAAAGAUGUGCCGCCUCGUACGACGGCUGUUGGAAAUCCGGCGAGGUUGCUUGGUGGUAAAGAUAAUCCGAAAACGCAUGAUAAGAUUCCUGGUUUGAUUAUGGACCAGACAUCGCAUAUAUCCGAGUGGUCGGAUUAUGUAAUCUGAAAAACAAAAAAGUCUUUGCUUUGUAUUGUUGUUGUUAAUGGCUUUUCAUUGUUCUCUCUCGGCUUCUUCUGUUACUGAAGCUGGAGAACUUAUGAUAUGCGAUAAUCAGAUUAUUUGUCUCUCUAUAAGAUUGACUGAUUAAGAUGGGAUUUGAAUGUAAAACUCGGAAACUCUAAACUCUGUUUAGUGGAGUUUCCUGUGGUUGGUUUCUGAUUAGCAGAGACUACUUUAAAGAUAUGUAAUCUAAGUGUUUAUUUGGUUAAACCAUGAUUUCUUUGAUCAGACUUGUUGGGAAUAAAUUGAAGAUUCAUCAUUUGUCUUGAGUUUUGUUUUGCUUACUACAACUUUCUAGGAAAUGACAACAAGAUCAGUCAGGAUCCAGGAUUGCUUGCUACCAUCAAUUAAAACUCUACCUAUUUGUCUGUAAGUUUCAUCUGCUUCUGUUGAAAAUUGCUGUAGAAAAAGCGGUAAAGCGAGUGCAGAGCCAGGUCCCCUUUGUGACGACGCAGUGAGCACUUUACUGACUUGUCUCCUGGACCACUUUGUCGUAAACCCAAAAAAAAGUGAACAGCAGCAGCAGGCUGCACACCGCAGAAUCCGUCGACCUUUCACAGUUACUGAGGUAGAAGCACUUGUUCAAGCAGUUGAGAAACUCGGUACUGGAAGAGCCAAUGCGCAACAACCAAAGUUGUUCGUGGGAAUGAUUCUGAUUCUCAUAUUUGCUGAAGCACUUGCGCUGUACGGUCUCAUUGUUGGUAUCAUCCUCUCUUCUCGAGCUGGUCAAUCUAGAGCCGAGUGAAGAAAUUCAUAAGUAUCUCUGCUAUAUGAGCUCUAAGUCCUUGUAAUGGUUUGGUAAAUUUUACUUUCAGUUUUUUUUUCUUUUGUGGUAUUGUGAGUUUUGAGUUUCUCAUGAAAACAAACAUCAUGGGUG